GACGAACGCUGGCGGCGUGCUUAACACAUGCAAGUCGAACGGAAAGGCCCUGCUUUUGUGGGGUGCUCGAGUGGCGAACGGGUGAGUAACACGUGAGUAACCUGCCCUUGACUUUGGGAUAACUUCAGGAAACUGGGGCUAAUACCGGAUAGGAGCUCCUGCUGCAUGGUGGGGGUUGGAAAGUUUCGGCGGUUGGGGACGGACGCGCGGCUUAUCAGCUUGUUGGUGGGGUAGUGGCUGACCAAGGCUUUGACGGGUAGCCGGCCUGAGAGGGUGACCGGCCACAUUGGGACUGAGAUACGGACCAGACUCCUACGGGAGGCAGCAGUGGGGAAUCUUGCCCAAUGGGAGGAAGCCUGAUGCAGCAACGCCGGGUGCGGGAUGACGGCCUUCGGGUUGUAAACCGCUUUAGCCUGUGACGAAGCGUGAGUGACGGUAAUGGGUGAAGAAGCACCGGCUAACUACGUG
rnacentral:rRNA from 1 species